AAGUAAGGGUGAUGCUGUGGCAGCUGUUGCAAGUUACAAUAAUUAUGUGUAAGAGAACAACUUAUGUCAAUGAUGUUACUGCAGUGUGGCACUGUGGUUGGCAAUGGAUUCUGGAUAAGUGGUUUGUUGGAUUUUUUGUGGCCGUUUCUGGGCUGUGUUUGAAAAUGUGUGUUCUGUGUUGAGAGGGGCAGAUAACUUUUACUAUAUGCUUCUGAGUUUUUAUAUGCUGGGUUGCAAAUGCAUUGCAAACUGCAUUAGAGAACUGUUCCGGCCAUAGAGAACAAUGAGGAACUUGAAACACCCCAUUUUCCCCAUGCGUGGCUCCUAGGGACACCAAAGUGGGUUGGGUGGUUGUAGGGCAUGAUGGGUGCAACUAUGUAUUACCCAACCCACAAAAGAAAUGGACAAGUGAGGUGAUUUUAAUUGAUUUAACCUAUUUAAUAUUUUAGCAAAGGUUUUUUCCCCUCCUUUUUCAAAAUCAGGUCCUUUCUUAGUGCAAAGUUUGUCAGCUGCAUUUUACUGUUUGACUAACCAAAAUUGCGUUCCUAUAUUAGGAUACAGCAAGUGGUUCGUUAACUGGUUCAGGUAGUACCAAUUAUUGCUCUUUUUCUGUCCCUAACCAAGGACAUGCAAUAGUUGUAACUGCACAAUUUCUCAUAGGCUUAAGGGUUCAAUAAGUCAGCACAGACCAGCUCAAGUCCUUUUAGAGGGAUGAAACAUCUGCACCAUGCUGAACAGAGGCGCUUAUCUCGAUUCUGUAGGGGACAGCAGAUCAUGACCCUUCUGACAGAAAGCAUGAAGUCUGUCUCAAUGGAAAUAAGCUACUUGUCCAGAAUGAUUGCCAAAACAAUAUCCAGAAAAUAUAGUCUGCUUUAAGGAAGUGGAAGAAUUGUUGGGCACAAACGUGAGAGACUGAGAGCAAACAAAUCAUGCUGGAGUUUGUUCCACCUACCUUCUUUACUACAACAUGGGUAUACCUGCUUGCCUCCACCACGGUAGUUUGCAGAUCCACCCCAGCCAGCUGACUCAAUCCAAACUCACUCCUCUUGUAUAGAUCUCUCUGUCCUCUCCCCUGCCU